GGAACAUUUUUGAUGGUCAGAACUGUUUGGAGUAUGUAAAUGACCCUACAUUGUGAAACCAGAUAUAUUCAGCGCCAGUAAUGGACAUGCACACACCAAAUCUAUUGUUACUAUAUUAUAUAACUAUAUCAUAACCAUAUUAAUAUACAGAUCGCAAAUACAAUCAAAAUAGUUUUCAGAGAUUGCAAAUGGAAAAAUCUUACAAAACCUG